rnacentral:piRNA from 1 species
UAAAUAAAGAGGACUGUAAAUAUU